CCUCCUCCCGCUCCCCUCCCCGCCCUCCUCCCUCCGCCCGCCCGCCCGCCCUCCCUCGCGCUCUCUCGCGCUCGCUCGCUCGCUCGCUCCAGUAUGUAAAUGUGUAAUAGAAGCCAAAUAUGGAGCAGUUGGCUGCCGCCGCCGCAGCUCAAGGAUCCGACUUCGUGGGGGGGGGGGCACCCUCUGGCAGGCGGCCCGGCGAGCCGCACGGAGCUAGGCGAGCGCACGGCUGCCCGCGCCCUUAACCCUUGGGUGCGCGUGGCCGGGGUAGGGAGGCCGGCGCCGCGCCCCCAGAGAGGAUCUGGGAUACUGACCGAAGAGAUGGGAGCACCACUGGGGGUGGGGGGACGAUGACCCUGGAGAGAAGGGGGGCUGCUCCUUCCAGGUUUGAGAGGGGCGGGGAGUUGGAGCGAUGAGGUAAUUGGAGCGGUGACCGGUCGGUGCUUGCGCGUCUCUCCAGCUCUCUGCACCUAGUUGGAGCGAACGGACUGACAGCGGGGUGCAACUCAGGCAAUCUGAGGGACUCCCCCACAGGGUAUCAGGCUUCAGCUCCGAGCCGGUAAAAUACCCAUGGGGGCGGGGAAGCCGGCUAAUUCUAAUCCCAACUGGCCCUGAGCCCGGGGCGCUCGGAGAGGAGCCUACGCGAGCUCAGUCUGGUCAGCGGCUGCACGCUCACCCUCCACCCCGUGUCGUUUCGGCGUUCCGGAGCCCAGACCUGGGGCCGCGGGGGCUCCCUUGGCUUGCAACUCUGGAAAGUUUUAAGAGUCCCCGCGGUGGCACUUGCAUCCUCACCUUUCCUACCUGUGAGAGCUGGCGAUCACCCGCCCUCGUUUCUAUUUCUGCACUUCCGGAAACCUGCUUUGGGAAUUGAGCUACUCCGCUGUGGCCGUGAUAGACGACCCGCGGGCUCCUCUCGCGGCUAAUUCGGGAUCAUUAAUUUAAUCGGAAGUGAGGUAACCGGUGUAGGAGAUAGAGAAAGUAAACGGAGCAUUAAAUAAGCAGUUCUUGCGAAUCCACCCCAAGAACUUCGUCUGGUCUUAAUAGCUAAUUGCAGUGCUCAGCUCCCCCGCUCCGUCCCCUCCGCGUGUCCGCCGUGAGCUCGCUAGAUCUUUGCAGAGGUGCACCUUGCCAACAGGUGUGGCACCCGGAGGAAGAGAGGGCGCAUCCCUGGGGCCGCUCCUCGAGGCGCUGUCCUUGCCGCAGAUAAUUCUGGGAAGGCCAGUAGGUGUCAGGGCAGCAUUUGACCUGCUUUAGGUGCGUGGAACUGGGUCUAGAAAUCUGAUCCCUCCGUUUCUCCCUGGAAGCCACCACUAUUGACUGUAAGCUGUAUUUGAGAGACCUUUUGGCUGAGUUUGCUUAUGACCUAACAGUUAGUCACCAACUGAAGUAGGAUACAGAAUCACCCGGAGAAAUAUGUCAGCUUUUAAACAACUCUGGAUUGUAGAGCCAACGCACUUCAAAAAUAAGAAUAAGCACACUCACGAUGAAGCCUCUAGUGGACAGUUUACACCAGUUUCCUGUAAAGGCUCUGCCGGGUGUUUAUGUCGUCGACAAGAUUUAUCAAGGUGAAGUCUGAUGAUUCAGAACGCAACCAGGCCCCUUCUUCACAAGGAGAUUUCAUCCUCCUGCUUUGAGAUCAGCUCAAGCAUCAACACUUCUGUGAAGUCUUUCUUGAUGAUCACAAGAGUCUGCGGCUCUGCCCAAUGUGUGAGUCAGAGAAGUGCUAUUUUCUUAUUCUUUUUAUUUAUACAAUAUUUUUUUUAAACUUCUAGCAGGAAAAAACUCAGGGCCAUAAGCACAGAUGGAGACAGUAUCCUAAGUGAGAGUCUCUCUUAUCUGAAUACUUCCUGUUACUCCCAAACCCAUCUGACCUUGGCGUACAGUUUCAGCAUGCAAGAUUUUUCCUUUGUUGCUCCAGCGAUGUAAUUUUCCUCCGAUCAGCUCUCCUCUCCUACACCAUUCUGUUGUGAGUGGAACUGAGUUCCCCAAAAGGUAUCCUGAGGCUCUAACUCCAGUGUUUGUGAGAGUGACCUCAUCUGAGAAUAGGAUUUUUCAAUGUAAUUAGUUAAGAUAAAGUCUUCGUGGAUUAGGGUGAACGCUGAAUGCAAUAUGACUAUUGUUCUCAUGAGAAAGCACCAAGACACAGAGGAGGCACCACACAGACGGCCACGUGAAGGUGGAGAUUGGAGUCAGUGCUGCCCUCAGCCGAGAAUGCCAGUUACUACCAGUAAGGGCCAGAAGCAGGAAGAAGCAAAGGAGAUUUCUUCCUCUGAGUCCUCAGAGAGAGAGAGAGAGCUGUAUCCCAAGAACACCUUGAUUUCAGACUCUGAACCCUUGGAACUGGGAGAGAAUGCAUUUUCCCUGUUUUAAACAGCACCAUGUGUGAUGUUUUGUUAUCACAGCCCUAGCAAAUGAUCUGCCCUCCUUAUGAGAGCUGUGCUUACGGAUCUGUGGCAUUGUUCUCUGUACUGUUCGUUUCCAUGUGCAGCCCUAUCUCUUUCCUCUUUCAAUACUCAUAGGUAAUCCAUUCCGAGUGUGUAUUUGGCCUUGCACCCAUGAUAAUAUGAAUAAACAAAAGGCCCAACGGAAUAGGUGACUUAUCUGCAGACUUCUAGAAUCACCUCCCUAUCAUUCCAGAAAUGGUGUUUGGCUCUGGCCUCAGACACAGAGGCUGCUGAGAGAGGUCUGGGGGAGCCCAAGUGUGUGGAGCUCUGGGCCCCAGGCCAGGCCUCAACAGGGUUCUCCUGUAGCUCUCCUCUGCUCCCUCUGCUGGGCUCCAAGGUGCACAACAACUGUCCUCUGCCGAAAUGGUAUUGCACCACGUGUGAAAUCAACAAACGACUGAAAAAAAAAUUAAUUCUUUGGCAUCGAAGAAAUAAAACCAAAAAAAAAGAAAAAAAAAAAACCUAGCUGCUUUUAUUUUUUUAGCUUUUCAUGUGAGCAAAUCUCCUCAUGUAAUCAGGGUAAGGGAGUUUGUACCACAUCCAGCCCUUUGAUUUCUCCAGAUCUGGCCAAGGAUAGAGUUUCCAUAUUUGUGCUUAUGAAACCUCAGUCUUUCUGAUUCUCAUUUUUCAAAGAACAGCUGUCAAAUCACUUGUUUCAGGAGGUUUUUUCCCCAGCAGGCAGAUGGCAGCCUGACACUCAAGUCCAGACGCCAGAGUAAGUCUUCCACUGGGGUGCCGUGUGCUGUUUAGCAUAGCUUUUGGAUACCCAUUGCUGUAAACAACUCAGUUCUUCCAAUUGUUCAGGCCAAAAAAGCUUACCUUGACUCUUUUCUUUUGUUCAUAACUCACAUCCAGUCUUCCCAACAAAUCCAGUUGGCUUGAUCUUCAAAAUUUACCGAGACUGUGGGCAUUUCUUGCCACGGUUAGAGCUAAGCUUCAUCAGUAUAACUGUCGUAGCCUUUUAAAUUGUCCCACUGCUGUAACCAUCCUCCAUCCACAGACCAUUGCACACAAACACAUUGGGUGCUUUUAGAAUUCUGCUCAUGACCUUCUCACAACUCCCGCUUUCCACCUGGAGUCAAGGCCAAGUUCUUCCAUGGUCCAAGGCUCUACACCAUCAGGAUGUCCGCAGCCUUUCCAUCUCAUCUAUUCAUUCUAGCACUGUCCUUGCUCCCAUCCCACUAUUUCUUCUUUUUUAUCUAAGCAAUCUGCCAGUGAGGCUUGCUGGGGUGACCUUAGUUAAAGUGGGAUCUGCCUACUUUGCUGAUCUACCUCAUUCUGUUCAGUUGUACCACAAACACAAUAUAGUGCAAUAUUUUAUGUCAAUUACAUGUUUUGUUGUUAUUUAUGGCCAGGAGGGAAGGGAUUUUUGCUAUUCAUUUUUGCUUUUAGUGAGUGUACCUGAGAGACACUCACUAAAUAUGCAUUGACGGUUAGAUGAAUGAAUGAAUGAAUCAGUAGUAUUUCCCAGGACCUACUAUGCACAGGGCAUUAUCAGCCUCAAUCCAAUGGUUGUCUCAAUACAAGCUAAUCCAAAACAAAUCAACUUGUCCACAGUGUGAUACAUAUCCUAUUUACUUGUUGUUUGGUUUAAUUGUAUGACGUAUGACUAUUAAAGCUGAGUUAGAAUAAGCUGAGUUUCACAUUUGGGCUCAAGUGCAUAAACAUCCUUUAAAAAACAAAAUUUCAAACCAGAAUCCAAGAGACGUACAAACCUGGUAACAGGUUUCAGGAAUAGCAAGUAGCACAUCUUUAGGUUCUAAUCAUUACAAUUUUUAACGGCUACUAUUUAGCAAGCUUUUAUGUUGUGCUAGGCACCAUGGUAAGAGCUUUGGUGAUGCUAUUUGAUUGAAUCCCCACAACAAUAGAGGAAUGUAGAGAUUAUGAUGUUCAUUAUCUCCAGAGACUCAACUGAGGCUUGAUAUUUAAAAGACCUGCUCAAGGAUCAAGAUCACCUAGCAAUGCAUUUAAGGUAAAGUUAUUCACUUUUGUAGCCUUUAAGUUUUUAACAAGUCAUUAUCUGAGUGAAACAGGACAGUGCACCAGGUGGGGUGGUGAACACCUGUAAUACCAGCUGUGUGGGAGGUCAAGGGAGGUCAAUUGUAAGUUUCAUCCCAGGUUGGUCAGUUUAGGACUUAGAGGACCCUUUUGUUACCAAACAAAACAAAUAAAAUAAAAUAAAAAAGAGAUCAGGUGAUAUAGCUCACUAUGAAGGCUAGACUCAAGCUCCAGUACUUCAGUGGAAGGAAGGAAAGAACUUAGGAAAAAAGAGAAGGGAAGGGAAGAAAAAAGGAAGCAAAAGGAGGAGGGAGGAAAGGAAGGAAAGAAAGAGGAAGGAAGGAAAAAAGAAGGAAAGGUCAUGAGAAUCAGUGCCGCACUACAGUAUUUUGGCCAAGGCAAUCAUGCCUAACGUCAGUCUUUAUAUUUUAGGCUUUAUUUUUUUUGGUACAUAACACACACAGCCUGGAAAUUAAAUCCCGGGGGCUCUUACUGAGGAAUAAUCUUGCCUCCACAUCAGUCUAAGUGUUUUUCUCCAUUAACAAAACUGUGUUCCAGGUCAUGCUUUUUAUGCAACUACUACAUGGGUGGAAAUGACUCAUUUGAAGUUCAGGCUUCCAUGGCUGAGACUCUUUCCUAGCAGAAAUUUUGCCUCUCAUCUGGAGCAUCCCACCACGCUAAGGACUAAGGAGAUUGUAAAUGGCCACUGUGAAUUCCCAAGCCGAUGUAGGGAAUGAAUUCCGUGGUCUUAGCCUUUGUCCCAAUUCUUUCUUCUGCCUUCUGUUCCGCCCCUGCACUUCCCAGAGGCUUCUGGGACCAGAAUCCAAGAGAAGGGUUUGAAAGUCACCUGGCCACAUGAAAAGCGGAAGACUGCAAGGUUUUUCACAUGUCCCUUCCACUUUAUAUUUAAAGGGAAAUGAUCCUAGAAGCUAAAAUAGUUCCAGAGUUCAGCACUCUGUGAAAUUUGAAGGGAAAAAGAAAACAAGCCCUACAUUUUUCAGAGAUGUGAAGAGAGACCAGCUCUCUGAAGUUGGAAGGAAGUGAGAAGACCCUAUUUGUGGCUGCAGGAAAGGAAAAGAAAAGAUCCCUGCAAGGAAACUACCAACAGAUGCUUUGUCACAAGGUUCCAUACAAAACCAUAAGAAUUGCAGUGCCAGCAAAAGGAAGAAAAAUGGACCUCGAUGGUGCUCUGCCCACCAGAGAUGACACUGGGCCUUGAGUCCUGGAAUAAGCAAGACACUCAAUUCAAUCACCAUCUCUCAGUGCAUCAGCAAAAAACCAUGCUGGUUACUCUAACUGGACACAGAGAGGUGAGGGAGGCCUGUUUCUUAAUCAUCACCUACGAAAUACAACUUAGACCACACUACAUUGUUAGAACCAGGAGCAUCCUUGAAAAAUCUAGCUCAUUUUUUUCAUUUUACAGACAAGACUCAGAGCUAAAGAGUUGCGGGAAAUUGGCAUAGAUCACAUAAUUAGUGGCAAAUUUAUACUGGAACCUGAGACUCCUCUUCAUUUCCCUUUUCCUCUCCCUCUCUCUCCUCCAGCUCUUAGAGAAAGAAGAGACUCCUGCAAUGCACAAAUCCAAUCCACAAGACCUUUGUUAUGGAAACUCGGCUUCUUAUCAGAUUUUGGAGUCUUGGGUCUGUGGGUGUUUGGGAAACUAGUUGAUAUUCUUUAUAGGUAAAGUUCGAAGCUAAAAUGUAUUUGUCAAUUUCUGUCCUAACCCACUGUGGAUUGUGUCUGGAUUAUAUAGCUACUGCACUAUUUGACACAGCUGGGAUCCCCUUUCCAUAAAAUAGCAGGGAUGACUGCUAGAUAAGAAUUAAAAGGCACUGGUAGAAAAGAACCAGGAACUUGACACAAUUACUUCCUACCCAGAUCGUACCAGUCCAAGAACUUCUCCUGCCCCUUUUGGAAUCAGGAGUAGUGGGAGGAAAGGGGAUUUUUAUCGUAUUAGUAAAAGAAAGUGUAACAAAAAUGCUUUAUCCUUGCUCUGUUUGAUGAGAUCUUAACUUUCAUAGUUGAUGCUUCUACAAGAUUAAAUAUAUUCCAGUUCAAAUUGACUUAUGCCCUCAUAGAUCAUUUUUGCAAUAGAUACCUACAUAGUUCUUAAUAAAAACUGUUCUGAAUCA